UACGUAGGGGGCAAGCGUUGUCCGGAUUUAUUGGGCGUAAAGAGCGUGUAGGCGGCCAGACAGGUCUGCUGUGAAAACUCGAGGCUCAACCUCGAGACGCCGGUGGAAACCGUCUGGCUAGAGUCCGGAAGAGGAGAGUGGAAUUCCUGGUGUAGCGGUGAAAUGCGCAGAUAUCAGGAAGAACACCAGUGGCGAAGGCGAUCACCUGGGGUUGUUCUGACGCUGAGGAGCGAAAGCUAGGGGAGCAAACGGG
rnacentral:rRNA from 1 species